CGUGGAGACAGGUGGUGCAUGGCUGUCGUCAGCUCGUGUCGUGAGAUGUUGGGUUAAGUCCCGCAACGAGCGCAACCCUCACCUCUUGUUGCCACCAGGUCAUGCUGGGCACUCUAGAGGAACUGCCCCGGUCAACGGGGAGGAAGGCGGGGAUGACGUCAAGUCAUCAUGCCCCUUACGUCCUGGGCUACACACGUGCUACAAUGGCCAGUACAAAGGGAUGCCACACCGCGAGGUAGAGCUAAACCCAAAAAGCCGGUCUAAGUUCAGAUUGGAGUCUGCAACUCGACUCCAUGAGGGAGGAAUCGCUAGUAAUCGCGUAUCAGCACGACGCGGUGAAUACGUUCCCGGGCCUUGUACACACCGCCCGUCACACCACGAAAGCCCGCCGUACUUGAAGUUCGUGAG
rnacentral:rRNA from 1 species